rnacentral:rRNA from 1 species
AUUGAACGCUGGCGGCAUGCCUUACACACGCAAGUCGAACGGCAGCGGGGGAGAAGCUUGCUUUUCCUGCCGGCGAGUGGCGAACGGGUGAGUAAUACAUCGGAACGUACCCUGUUGUGGGGGAUAACUAGUCGAAAGAUUAGCUAAUACCGCAUACGACCUGAGGGGGAAAGUGGGGGACCGCAAGGCCUCACGCAGCAGGAGCGGCCGAUGUCUGAUUAGCUAGUUGGGGGGGUAAAGGCCCACCAAGGCGACGAUCAGUAGCUGGUCUGGGAGGACGAUCAGCCACACUGGGACUGAGACACGGCCCAGACUCCUACGGGAGGCAGCAGUGGGGAAUUUUGGACAAUGGGGGCAACCCUGAUCCAGCAAUGCCGCGUGUGUGAAGAAGGCCUUCGGGUUGUAAAGCACUUUUGUCCGGAAAGAAAUCGCGCUGGUUAAUACCUGGCGUGGAUGACGGUACCGGAAGAAUAAGCACCGGCUAACUACGUGCCAGCCGCCGCCGUAA